GAUGAACGCUAGCUACAGGCUUAACACAUGCAAGUCGAGGUACCGGCGCACGGGUGAGUAACACGUAUCCAACCUGCCCUUUACUCGGGGAUAGCCUUUCGAAAGAAAGAUUAAUACCCGAUAUAAAGGAUGGGGAUGCGUUACAUUAGGUUGUUGGUGAGGUAACGGCCCACCAAGCCUUCGAUGGCUAGGGGUUCGGAGAGGAAGGUCUCCUACAAUGGAACUGAGACCCGGUCCACAAGCCGACGGGCGGCAGGAGUGAGGAAGAUUUGUCAAUGGGCGUUAGCCUGAACCAGCCAAGUAGCGGAAAGGAUGAAGGCUUAGGGGUCGUAAACUUCUUUUAUAUAAGAAGAUGUAUUAUAUGAAGAAGGAUCGGCUAACUCCGUGCCAGCCGCCGCGGUAAUAC
rnacentral:rRNA from 1 species